rnacentral:lncRNA from 1 species
CCCCGUUUCGGGGGGCCCCCGCACCCCCUUUUUGGGGGGGGCCCCCGCACCCCGUUUUGGGGGGCCCCCGCAGCCCGGCCCGGCAUUCGGAGGGAGUGUGUGGGGGGGGGCCCCACGGUGGCAGUUUUGGGGGGGAGACACCCCGCUUCGCUUUGGGGGGACCCCAACGGUCUCAGGGCGUCGGGUCCGGGGGGGCCCCACGGUGGCAGUUUGGGGAAGGGGGGGGGACACCCCGCAUCGUUGGGCGUCGUUUUGGGAAGGGGGGGACUCCGUGUCAGGCGCCAUUUUGUGGAGGGACCCCCCCCCACCUCGGGCACCAUUUUGUGGGGGGACCCCGCGUCGUCGGGCGCCAUUUUGUGAGGGCAAGACCCCCCUCGUUGGUGGUCGUUUUGUUGGGGGGGGGGCGCCCCACAUCGGUCUUCGUUUCGGGGACACCCUCCACGUCAUCGGUCCUGGGGGGGACGACGACCCCCGUGUCGUCGGGCGCCGUUUUGCGGAGAGGAACCCCACAGCAGUCGCCGUUUUGUGGAGGGACCCCACGUCAUCAGGUGUCAUUUUGGGAGGGGGCCCCCCACCUCGGGCGCCAUUUUGUGGAAGUGGGGGGGACCCUCCACGUCAGGCGCCAUUUUGUGGAGGGACCCCACAUCGUCGGGCGUUGUUUUGGGAGGGGGCCCCCCACCUUGGGCACCAUUUUGUGGAGGAGGGGGGGACCCUCCACGUUGGGCGCCAUUUUGUGGAGACCCCGCGUCACUGGGCGCCAUUUUGUGAGGGCGACACCCCCCCGCCGGGCGUCGUUUUGGGGGUUCUCUCCGCGUCGUCAGUCUGGGGGCCGGGGGGGGGGGCCCCCUCCACGUCGUCGGUCUCCAUUUUGCAGAGGGGGGAACCCCACGCCGGGCGCCAUUUUGUAGGGGGAUCCUCUGUGUCAGGCGCCAUUUUGUGGAGGAGACCCCGCGUUGUCAGGCGCCAUUUUGCGAGGGCAACACCCCACGUCCGUCGUCGUUUUGGGGGGGGGGGGAGACACCCCACGUCGGUCUUUGUCUUGGGGGGGGAACCCUCCACGUCGUCGGUCUCCAUUUCGCGGAGGGGAAACCCCACAGCGGUCGCCAUUUUGCGGAGGAGACCCCNNNNNNNNNNNNNNNNNNNNNNNNNNNNNNNNNNNNNNNNNNNNNNNNNNNNN